rnacentral:rRNA from 1 species
UCUUCGAUUCNGCGGCGGACGGGUGAGUAAUGCCUAGGAAUCUGCCUGGUAGUGGGGGACAACGUUUCGAAAGGAACGCUAAUACCGCAUACGUCCUACGGGAGAAAGCAGGGGACCUUCGGGCCUUGCGCUAUCAGAUGAGCCUAGGUCGGAUUAGCUAGUUGGUGAGGUAAUGGCUCACCAAGGCGACGAUCCGUAACUGGUCUGAGAGGAUGAUCAGUCACACUGGAACUGAGACACGGUCCAGACUCCUACGGGAGGCAGCAGUGGGGAAUAUUGGACAAUGGGCGAAAGCCUGAUCCAGCCAUGCCGCGUGUGUGAAGAAGGUCUUCGGAUUGUAAAGCACUUUAAGUUGGGAGGAAGGGCAUUAACCUAAUACGUUAGUGUUUUGACGUUACCGACAGAAUAAGCACCGGCUAACUCUGUGCCAGCAGCCGCGGUAAUACAGAGGGUGCAAGCGUUAAUCGGAAUUACUGGGCGUAAAGCGCGCGUAGGUGGUUUGUUAAGUUGAAUGUGAAAGCCCCGGGCUCAACCUGGGAACUGCAUCCAAAACUGGCAAGCUAGAGUACGGUAGAGGGUGGUGGAAUUUCCUGUGUAGCGGUGAAAUGCGUAGAUAUAGGAAGGAACACCAGUGGCGAAGGCGACCACCUGGACUGAUACUGACACUGAGGUGCGAAAGCGUGGGGAGCAAACAGGAUUAGAUANNCUGGUAGUCCACGCCGUANACGAUGUCAACUAGCCGUUGGAAUCCUUGAGAUUUUAGUGGCGCAGCUAACGCAUUAAGUUGACCGCCUGGNGAGUACGGCCGCAAGGUUAAAACUCAGAUGANNUGACGGGGGCCCGCACAAGCGGUGGAGCAUGUGGUUUAAUUC